rnacentral:lncRNA from 1 species
AAGAGGUGCAUAAAUAAAGAGUGAACCUAGUACCACCUCCUUGGAAGGGGCUGAGUCCUUCUUCACCUUUGCCUUGGAAAAACCAGUUUCUCUCUCCUCUAUUGUCUGUUACCUGCUUCUCAAAGUUCAACUGAGCCCCUCCGUAGUCCCAACCCUCUCUUCCAGCCACCUGGGCUCCCUCUCCUCCGGCUCCACUUUUCUCUGCUUCCAUAUGUUUUUUUUUCUUAAAGGGAGAAGGACUCUUCGGGACUGGCCCUCCCGCCUCCCUCAGGAACAGGCCUGCGGGACUGGACGCGACACAGUCUGUAGGGCAAGGGUGGAUGAUAAGAGAAGGGCCUACCUUUUCUGGACUGUCUAAUGUCAACGCCACCUCCCAUGUGCAUGGCCUUUCACGGUUAAAGUGCUUUUACAGACACUGUUGUCUCCGGAGUAUGUACCCUCGAGGCUCAGAACCCCCCACGAGGGUGAGACUGUGCACAUUCCAACAGAGGACUUGAAGAAUCUGGUGGACCAUACACGUUGGGAGGAUUUCAGUGGAGUGAAGUUCAGGAGGCGUGGAGCAGACACCGCGGCAGCAGCGGCCGCAGCGGCAGAGAGGAGCUCCGACUUAGGCAAAGAAAGGCCCAGGGAGGGAUGUGAGCGGUGCAGGAGACAUCUGGAGCGCAUCUCCUCCUGCAGAAGGGGGUGGGGUGGGGGGGCGCGAUGGGCAGAUUGCAAAAAACACCACAGAUGGGAGCCGCUUAUUCCUCCUUGUCUAAAAUUGAUGCUUUGGAAAUGUGUGUUUUCUGUAACUUACAAAGAUUAAAAGUUGCCUGCCUGCUGGAAAGCCUGCCUCUGUGAUUCAUGCUGUGGGGUGCCGACUCCCCCGGCCUUCUAAGUCACCUCCUCUUUGGGCUAGAAUGGAGACAGGAGCUGGAACAAUGGCCACCGGCUCCUCUCUCUCUCCGGGGUGCCCCAGGCUGGUGGCCUGAACUCUGUUUGCAAGCUGCUAGGAGCCCUGCUACCCUCAGCCUCCCCACGGUGCCAGCAGGACCUGCAGAACGGGGUAAAAAACUCGAUUAAGAUUUGUUUAAACCCAUUUAUAUUGUAAUAAAAUAAAUGUAAAUAAGAUUUAAGUGAAGGCA